UACAUGCAGUCGAGCGAACUGAUUAGAAGCUUGCUUCUAUGACGUUAGCGGCGGACGGGUGAGUAACACGUGGGCAACCUGCCUGUAAGACUGGGAUAACUUCGGGAAACCGAAGCUAAUACCGGAUAGGAUCUUCUCCUUCAUGGGAGAUGAUUGAAAGAUGGUUUCGGCUAUCACUUACAGAUGGGCCCGCGGUGCAUUAGCUAGUUGGUGAGGUAACGGCUCACCAAGGCAACGAUGCAUAGCCGACCUGAGAGGGUGAUCGGCCACACUGGGACUGAGACACGGCCCAGACUCCUACGGGAGGCAGCAGUAGGGAAUCUUCCGCAAUGGACGAAAGUCUGACGGAGCAACGCCGCGUGAGUGAUGAAGGCUUUCGGGUCGUAAAACUCUGUUGUUAGGGAAGAACAAGUACAAGAGUAACUGCUUGUACCUUGACGGUACCUAACCAGAAAGCCACGGCUAACUACGUGCCAGCAGCCGCGGUAAUACGUAGGUGGCAAGCGUUAUCCGGAAUUAUUGGGCGUAAAGCGCGCGCAGGCGGUUUCUUAAGUCUGAUGUGAAAGCCCACGGCUCAACCGUGGAGGGUCAUUGGAAACUGGGGAACUUGAGUGCAGAAGAGAAAAGCG
rnacentral:rRNA from 1 species